CUCGAUAUGGUCAGUGGUUAAGAUGUUGGACUAUUGAUCGGAAGGUUGUGAGUUCAAAUCCCAGCACCAUGA